rnacentral:rRNA from 1 species
AACGUAGGAGACAAACGUUAUCCGGAGUUACUGGGCGUAAAGGGCGUGCAGGUGGCUUGAUAAGUUCGGCGUGAAAUUUCCCGGCUUAACCGGGGGAUGUCGUCGGAGACUGUCGAGCUAGAGGGUGAUAGAGGCGUGUGGAAUUCCGGGUGUAGUGGUGAAAUGCGUAGAGAUCCGGAGGAACACCAGUGGCGAAGGCGGUUGCCUGGGGCUUUGCUGACGCUGAUGCGCGAAAGCGUGGGGAGCGAUCCGG